UCUUGUGGCAGGGGCCGGCAGGGACGCGCUGGGACGCAUCCUCUUCACCGACCCACACAAAUACAAGGACGCCAUAUACAAGAGGUGGACACAGCGGGAAAAGAAGAAAAAAGAACUUCAACAUUAGCGGAACAAAGAACGAGAAGAAGUAAGGAGCUUCCGUUGCAACAUCUACAUCUACAUCUACCACUAAUGGCCACCGGGAUACGUGUCUUAUUUAAUGAUUUCCGAGGCCCCUGGCGGUCAUGGAGGGCGGUGAGCAGUGCCUGGAGAUGGAGGACAGCGGGGAGAUGAAGGAAUUUGAGUAGCGGGCGGUCCGAGUGGCCCACAGCACCCACACCACCUCCGUACUCCACCACCCGCUUGUCAGGAAAUUCACCAACCACAUCAUGAAAACAGGAAACAAACCUCUGGCCAGGGAACUUGUCGAGAAGGUCAAAGGUCACAACUAGCCAGCCGGGAGUGGGUCAGGAUGGCACGGCUGGCUGUGGUGGUGGUGGUGGUGGUAUUGGUGUUGGCGGCAGCAGCGGCGGGAAGGCCAGACUACACGCUGUCCCAAAAAUUUAUUGAAAUGUUGCAGAGUGAACAGUCCGCUUGGAAGAUUGUGUUAAGAUAUGGAGAAACAGACCAAAGGAACAGGAGGAGGAGGAGGAGGAAAGAGAUAUGAG